CCUACGGGGUGCUGCAGUGGGGAAUAUUGGACAAUGGGCGAAAGCCUGAUCCAGCCAUGCCGCGUGUGUGAAGAAGGCCUUCGGGUUGUAAAGCACUUUCAGUGGGGAAGAAAGCCUUGGGGCUAAUACCCUCGAGGAAGGACAUCACCCACAGAAGAAGCACCGGCUAACUCCGUGCCAGCAGCCGCGGUAAUACGGAGGGUGCGAGCGUUAAUCGGAAUUACUGGGCGUAAAGCGCGCGUAGGCGGUCUGAUAAGCCGGUUGUGAAAGCCCCGGGCUCAACCUGGGAACGGCAUCCGGAACUGUCAGGCUAGAGUGCAGGAGAGGAAGGUAGAAUUCCCGGUGUAGCGGUGAAAUGCGUAGAGAUCGGGAGGAAUACCAGUGGCGAAGGCGGCCUUCUGGACUGACACUGACGCUGAGGUGCGAAAGCGUGGGUAGCAAACAGGAUUAGAUACCCCGGUGUC
rnacentral:rRNA from 1 species